GACGAACGCUGGCGGCGUGCUUAACACGUGCAAGUCGAACGGUGAAGCUCCAGCUUGCUGGAGUGGAUCAGUGGCGAACGGGUGAGUAACACGUGAGCAACCUGCCCCUGACUCUGGAAUAAGCGCUGGAAACGGCGUCUAAUACUGGAUACGAGAAGGGCCCGCAUGGGCACUUUCUGGAAAGUUUUUCGGUUGGGGAUGGGCUCGCGGCCUAUCAGCUUGUUGGUGAGGUAAUGGCUCACCAAGGCGACGACGGGUAGCCGGCCUGAGAGGGCGACCGGCCACACUGGGACUGAGACACGGCCCAGACUCCUACGGGAGGCAGCAGUGGGGAAUAUUGCACAAUGGGCGAAAGCCUGAUGCAGCGACGCCGCGUGAGGGAUGACGGCCUUCGGGUUGUAAACCUCUUUCAGCAGGGAAGAAGCGAAAGUGACGGUACCUGCAGAAGAAGCACCGGCUAACUACGUG
rnacentral:rRNA from 1 species